rnacentral:rRNA from 1 species
GACGAACGCUGGCGGCGUGCUUAACACAUGCAAGUCGAGCGGAAAGGCCACUUCGGUGGUACUCGAGCGGCGAACGGGUGUGUAACACGUGAGUAAUCUGCCCCUGGCUUUGGGAUAGCCACCGGAAACGGUGAUUAAUACCGGAUACGACCACUUCUCGCAUGGGAUGGUGGUGGAAAGUUUUUUCGGCCAGGGAUGUUCUCGCGGCCUAUCAGCUUGAUGGUGAGGUAAUGGCUCACCAUGGCUUCGACGGGUAGCCGGCCUGAGAGGGUGACCGGUCACACUGGGACUGAGACACGGCCCAGACUCCUACGGGAGGCAGCACCUGGGAAUAUUCGGCAAUGGGCGAAAGCCUGACCGAGCGACACCGCGUGAGGGAUGAAGGCCUAUGGGUUGUAAACCUCUUUUGACAGGGAAAAAUAAAGUGAUGUUACCUGUAGAAUAAGCACCUGCAAACUACGUGCCAGCAGCCGCCGUAA